UGGAAUGGGUAGUGGAGGAGGAAGCCGCAGAUGUCAAUUAGAACCUCGAUACCACCUACACAGAGGAGAACUGAAGUCCCUCUGCCUACUUCUCUCUGCUUCGAUGGAUGUAUCUUCAUGUGUAUAGGAAAAUGUGCCAAAAUUGCAAAUGUCCCCUGACAGUUGAUUUCUGUGUGGAAAUGAAGGAAAGAGAAAGAGUUCUGUGAUACAAAACAGGUUGAGCGCAUGAAGACUGCAAAGCAUUCCACACACUGGAAUUUUCCUUCGGUGACAGCGGUAUGAGUCUGGAAAUGACCUAUGAAAAUUUACCUCAGGAAAUUGAAAGAUAUCCUGAUGAUGAUAUGAACUUCCAGAAGACAUGGACAGCCUUUCCAAAUAAUGUUAUCCAUCUACUUUCAAUUUUGUUUAAAUAUUACAGAUUAGACUAGGAAUAAAAGCAUUACACACUCAUGAUUCAAUAGUCUUCCAAAAUGUCUUCUUAUUUACAAUUUAUAAAUGCAUAAUAAAAAUUAUACUGUAUAGUUUGUGUAAUUUA